UACGUAGGGUGCUAGCGUUGUCCGGAUUUAUUGGGCGUAAAGAGCGUGUAGGCGGCCCGAUUAGUCCGCUGUGAAAGUCGGGGGCUCAACCCUCGAAUGCCGGUGGAUACUGUCGGGCUAGAGUGCGGGAGAGGCGAGUGGAAUUCCUGGUGUAGCGGUGAAAUGCGCAGAUAUCAGGAGGAACACCAAUGCGAAGGCAGCUCGCUGGAACGUAACUGACGCUGAGACGCGAAAGCGUGGGGAGCAAACAGG
rnacentral:rRNA from 1 species